rnacentral:miRNA from 1 species
CCCGGGAGCGGGGGACCACCAGGUUGCCUAAGGAGGGGUGAACCGGCCCAGGUCGGAAAGGUGAGAAUUUCUACGG